UUUGAGUUGGACGAGGAGGGUGAGGGCAUUGUCGACGCGCCGAAAGGAAGAGCGGGCAAUUACAGCACCAACGAUGACAAGUUACUAUGCAAUACUUAUUUGCAAGUGUCAAGGGAUCCAUCCAUUGGAGGUGAUCAAAGUAGAGAUGCGUAUUGGGGGCGAAUGAAAGAAUACUUUGAUGCUCACAACAUGAGUGGAAUUGACCGCUCGGAGAGAUCACUUCGGUCCCGAUGGUCCACAAUCAAUUCGGAUUGUCAAAAGUGGGCGGCCGCACAAAAGUCAGUUGAUAAGAUUAACCCAAGUGGCACAAAUGAGGAUGAUAGAGUAAGUGGCAUCUCAUAUAUGUUCAUCUCAUACUUGUUUUUGGUGUCCGAAGUGCUAACUUGUUUGUUUUUCUUAUAG
rnacentral:rRNA from 1 species